UUACUAAACAAGUGAGAUAGCAUGAUCGUGUUGUGGUUUUCACAGGGUCAGUCUCAUCCAUUCUAAUCUAGACAUGCCGGCAAUUCCCUCAAAAGUGGGAAAUUUGAAUUUUAACUAGUGAUAGUGGGUACUGUGUUUGUGCUAUUCCCU
ensembl:snRNA U1 U1 spliceosomal RNA